rnacentral:rRNA from 1 species
AGCGAACGCUGGCGGCAGGCCUAACACAUGCGAGUCGAACGGAUCCUUCGGGAUUAGUGGCGGACGGGUGAGUAACACGUGGGAACGUGCCCUUUGGUUCGGAACAACUCAGGGAAACUUGAGCUAAUACCGGAUGUGCCCUUCGGGGGAAAGAUUUAUCGCCAUUGGAGCGGCCCGCGUCUGAUUAGCUAGUUGGUGAGGUAACGGCCCACCAAGGCGACGAUCAGUAGCUGGUCUGAGAGGAUGAUCAGCCACACUGGGACUGAGACACGGCCCAGACUCCUACGGGAGGCAGCAGUGGGGAAUCUUGCGCAAUGGGCGAAAGCCUGACGCAGCCAUGCCGCGUGAAUGAUGAAGGUCUUAGGAUUGUAAAAUUCUUUCAGCGGGGACGAUAAUGACGGUACCCGCAGAAGAAGCGCCGGCUAACUUCGUG